ensembl:lncRNA
UCUUAAAUAAAAAUGCUCCACUUAACAGUUCUUGCAUAGAUAUCUUACAAUACCAAUUUAGAAAAGAAUUAUGAAACAGACCAGUAACAAAAAUAAAUUUUCUUCUUCCUUAAUAAAGAACAUUACCAUACUAACAUCAUAUAAUACAAAUAAUAUUUUAAACACUUUGUACAGCAAAAAAUCGUAAGUAAAACAAGAGAACUGAAAAGAAACUCAACUCAACAGAGGUGACAGUGAGAGAAGAGAGGAGGGCGGGGUGGAGUGAAGGGUCAUGGAUCCAAGGUUGAUAUGAACGGAGUUACAGAGCCCUUGCAGGGCAGGUGAGAAGGAUGUCGUGAUGGUGAAAACACAUCUGCUUGUCUUAAUUCACUUUUCUACAUGUCCAUUCAUCCCAGAAAAUAUAUAAGUGGGAUCCCUCAACAGCUGUGGUUUGAGUACACACAGUGGGUCAUACAAAGGUGCUGAAAUACCACUUAAAGUUAAUACAAAUAUUAGAUUGGCCACACGAUAUGUGGCAUAAGGAUUGGAACCAAAUAAGCUUUCUGUUAGCGUGGACGGCAAUACUUGGAAAGUGCAUGUCAUUUCUACCAUGUUACUUACAACAAAGGGAUAUAAAUACACAGUCACUUUGAACAAGUGAGAUCUUUUCUGAAAGCUAAGGUUUCUGUCUGGCACUUGAUCUAAGAAAGAUUUUAGGUUGCCUGGCAGCAUGAUUGCAUCAUUUUAACAAUUACGUUAUAUUUCCUUCAAAAUCAUUUUGCUGUACUAUUUCAGAAAUGUAAUCUCUAAGGAAGGGUUGAGGCAGGGGGUGACAGACUGCUAAAGCUAUAGACUUUUGUAGACUGAAAAUGUUGAUGGGAAGUCUUCAUAAGUGACUGUAACUAAAAUAAAGAUUGUAUAGGUUGCAUCUGAUUGCAUAAAACUGUCAUAUAAUCACAUUUUUAAAACAUUUUAAACAGACAGUAGCCAUUCUGGACUAAACAUUUGAUACCCUAAAAAAAUAAUGUGCCAAAAAUCAAAUAUUUCAAUGCAAACUUGUUAGUCAGUGAAACAAAUAUUACCUUGGAUGUGACAGGGCACUAUUUCCCAUAACAAUAUAGCAGAGAAACCUAAUUCUUUGGUACCAAUCCUUUUGCCACAUACAUACUGACAGAACAGGACAGACUCCAAGAAGGAGUCUGUUAACUAAAAGCAUCAGGCAUCAGGCCAACUAAGCAGAUGAACUGACAGAGUGUGGAAAGCACCUACAAGGAUGGGUCCUUUGAAAAAAACAAAAAAACAAAACUGUACCCAGUGAGGACAUUAAGCUGGUAAAGUUGAAAAGUUAUUGCAGUCUCACCAAAGAACUGCUUGGGGAUCCCAAGCUGCAUAGCUCUUGAGAAUACUUCUCAGAACAGCUGGAUAUCUAUGAGCGUGUUGGGUCCCAGAGGGCUCUGAUGGUUGUGGUUUUGGUAGAGAGGGUUUGGUGUAGGUGAAGUGAAACAUACAGACACAAGGAGAAGGGUUAAGAUCUGUGAAUCUCUUAUAUACUGACACAUCAAGCAUGGACAAACACAGUAGUUACAGACAGCGUCACUCUGGGAUGCCACUGAUACCAAGAAAGUUCAACCAAGUCACAGCAUGACUGAGUGUUUUCAGAGUACGACAUAUUCCUCCAGAGAUAGAGUGAUGAAAAAGGCAUUUAACUGGAGUUUUAAGCAGAUAUGUCAGUCUGAUCUGCUGCAAGGUGACCUGUGGAAAAUAGUUCUUGGUGGCCAUGUGCAUCCUGGUCAUGUAACAAAUGUUAAGUGGAUAUUUGACAGAGUGCUCCAACAGACUAUGCUAGCAGUGCGCGCACAUGAGUGCAAUAGCUAAGUAUGAUCAUGUAGUGCAAUGUUUGCAAGAACUAAAGCAGAUCUAUAGAAACGCUGAAAUGUCUGAGCGAUGCUGUUCGCCACAUAUGGUUAAUUACAGACAGAGCGGUCUGCAUGAAAGAUCUCACGCUAUUUACAAAAGCUGCCAGAAGUGACAAUCCUUCAUCAGGACGAUAUGGUGGAAAACUGUGAAAACUGAAGCCUUAUCCCUCAAAGGACUGUGUCUAAACAACUAACUGUGGCUACAGAGAAUGUCUGAAGUUGCUUAUAUAAUGGUUAAACAUUCCCAAAGACUCAAGCCCACCUUGACUUUUAAAUGAGACUUGACAGUGCUAUCUGCAGUGUGCUAAGAAGCUAACUUAAACUAAAGCUACUUCACUCCUGCUUAAGCUGCUAGCGCCACUAUACCAGGCACCCUAUAAGACCAUGAAGACGUUAUUUUACAUUUGUGAACAAUGAGUUCGGCUCCAGCUGACAGUAGACGAGAGGACCGAGAAUGUUAUGAAGCAUGAAGCAUUGGAGCAUACCGGUAAUUAAGCUUUAACAGGAACAGUUAUGUAAGAUCAACAGUCCCUCUCCUCCCACCGUCCAUCCAUCACUCCUUUUCUGCACCUCUGCAUCUCAGCUCUUUCCACUACAUCUACUACAUUCACAGCAGUUAACUUGCAGAUAUGCAAAUCUUUGGGCAAAACGUGUAAAGUGUGCAUUCAGCAUUCCCGCAGCUGAUAGUGCAUGGACAACUGCUGUGGACAGAAAGGGAGAGAUGGGGUGAGGAUGGAGGGAGAGAGGGAAAUUAGAAUGGCACUAACUGUGAACCACGGGGGAGGACCGGGGGACGUGGAGUGGAUUAAAUAUCUGUUGGGACUUUGCAGAUAAUGGUAAUUUAUUUUAUCUGUAAUCCAUGAGAUAAAAUGCAAUGGCUGAUUUAAUGAUCUGGAUAUUCAUGUAGGUAAAUGAUUUUUUUUAAAUCCGUUUUUUUCCAUGAAAGUUCAGCCUCUUCAGUGAGUAUCUCACCAUCUCCUGAUAUUUCUUUGCGCUAACAGGACUUUCUGUUUGUUGUACAUCAAAUGUGUCCACUGGGUGCAAGUCGGGCUCAAGGUCCCUGUUGUUGGUUUUUUUUUUCUCUUUCUCCAGACCACUCAAUUUCCCUGUGACCCAGAGCUAUCUCAUUAGCUGAACUGCAACUUGAGAAGAGGACCCGAGAGUUAAUGCUAAUCAGAGCUGUGGGACGGCAGCUAGCCGGGCCUGGAGGAGCCUGAGAGACGACAGGAGACCCGGGCAACACUGUGACAGAAAACCUGCUUUGACAGGCUCAGACAUGAAGGGAAUGAAAUGUGAAUUUGUAUCUGAAGUGACUUUGUGAUCUGUCGAAUGUCAGGAGGGGUUAUGAUUUACGAGGAGAUGAACUGUGAGUUGCAAUCGCUUCAUGCUGGCAAGCACUACAAUCUUUAAUUUUGUUUUUGUAACAAACAAUUUAGCUUUUUUGCCUGUGUGGCGAGUGGCACAACUGCUCAAAACCAACA